rnacentral:miRNA from 1 species
GGCAGAGGCCCCGAGGUGACCCUUUCUCUCGCCCCUAGGCUCGUCGCUCAGUGGAGUGUGGAGGAGGAGGAGGAGGCCGCCUGCGAGCGGCGCC